rnacentral:misc_RNA from 1 species
CCUACGGGAGGCUGCAGUGGGGAAUCUUGCGCAAUGGCCGAAAGGCUGACGCAGCGACGCCGCGUGUGGGAGGACGCCUUUCGGGGUGUAAACCACUGUUGCCCGGGACGAACAGCGCUUUUCGAGGCGUCUGACGGUACCGGGUGAGGAAGCACCGGCUAACUCCGUGCCAGCAGCCGCGGUAAUACGGAGGGUGCGAGCGUUGUCCGGAAUCAUUGGGCGUAAAGGGCGCGUAGGUGGCCUGGCAAGCGUGCGGUGAAAGCUCGGGGCUCAACCCCGAGUCGGCCGUGCGAACUGCUGGGCUCGAGCACUGUAGAGGCAGGCGGAAUUCCGGGUGUAGCGGUGGAAUGCGUAGAGAUCCGGAAGAACACCGGUGGCGAAGGCGGCCUGCUGGGCAGUGGCUGACACUGAGGCGCGACAGCGUGGGGAGCAAACAGGAUUAGAUACCCCGGUAGUC